GCCAGCGUAGUGUAGUGGUUUGAGUGUUGGACUACAUCUCUGGAGACCAGAGUUCAAAUCUCUGCUCAGCCA